rnacentral:rRNA from 1 species
CCUACGGGGCGCAGCAGUCGAGAAUCAUUCACAAUGGGGGAAACCCUGAUGGUGCGACGCCGCGUGGGGGAAUGAAGGUCUUCGGAUUGUAAACCCCUGUCAUGUGGGAGCAAAUUAAAAAGAUAGUACCACAAGAGGAAGAGACGGCUAACUCUGUGCCAGCAGCCGCGGUAAUACAGAGGUCUCAAGCGUUGUUCGGAAUCACUGGGCGUAAGGCGUGCGUAGGCUGUUUCGUAAGUCGUGUGUGAAAGGCGCGGGCUCAACCCGCGGACGGCACAUGAUACUGCGAGACUAGAGUAAUGGAGGGGGAACCGGAAUUCUCGGUGUAGCAGUGAAAUGCGUAGAUAUCGAGAGGAACACUCGUGGCGAAGGCGGGUUCCUGGACAUUAACUGACGCUGAGGCACGAAGGCCAGGGGAGCGAAAGGGAUUAGAUACCCCGGUAGUC